rnacentral:rRNA from 1 species
GACGAACGCUGGCGGCGUGCUUAACACAUGCAAGUCGAACGGAAAGGCCCUGCUUUUGUGGGGUGCUCGAGUGGCGAACGGGUGAGUAACACGUGAGUAACCUGCCCUUGACUUUGGGAUAACUUCGGGAAACUGGGGCUAAUACCGGAUAGGAGCUCCUGCUGCAUGGUGGGGGUUGGAAAGUUUCGGCGGUUGGGGAUGGACUCGCGGCUUAUCAGCUUGUUGGUGGGGUAGUGGCUUACCAAGGCUUUGACGGGUAGCCGGCCUGAGAGGGUGACCGGCCACAUUGGGACUGAGAUACGGCCCAGACUCCUACGGGAGGCAGCAGUGGGGAAUAUUGCACAAUGGGCGGAAGCCUGAUGCAGCAACGCCGCGUGCGGGAUGACGGCCUUCGGGUUGUAAACCGCUUUCGCCUGUGACGAAGCGUGAGUGACGGUAAUGGGUAAAGAAGCACCGGCUAACUACGUGCCAGCAGCCGCGGUGAUACGUAGGGUGCGAGCGUUGUCCGGAUUUAUUGGGCGUAAAGGGCUCGUAGGUGGUUGAUCGCGUCGGAAGUGUAAUCUUGGGGCUUAACCCUGAGCGUGCUUUCGAUACGGGUUGACUUGAGGAAGGUAGGGGAGAAUGGAAUUCCUGGUGGAGCGGUGGAAUGCGCAGAUAUCAGGAGGAACACCAGUGGCGAAGGCGGUUCUCUGGGCCUUUCCUGACGCUGAGGAGCGAAAGCGUGGGGAGCGAACAGGCUUAGAUACCCUGGUAGUCCACGCUGUAAACGGUGGGUACUAGGUGUGGGGUCCAUUCCACGGGUUCCGUGCCGUAGCUAACGCUUUAAGUACCCCGCCUGGGGAGUACGGCCGCAAGGCUAAAACUCAAAGGAAUUGACGGGGCCCCGCACAAGCGGCGGAGCAUGCGGAUUAAUUCGAUGCAACGCGUAGAACCUUACCUGGGUUUGACAUGGAUCGGGAGCGCUCAGAGAUGGGUGUGCCUCUUUUGGGGUCGGUUCACAGGUGGUGCAUGGCUGUCGUCAGCUCGUGUCGUGAGAUGUUGGGUUAAGUCCCGCAACGAGCGCAACCCUUGUUCACUGUUGCCAGCACGUUAUGGUGGGGACUCAGUGGAGACCGCCGGGGUCAACUCGGAGGAAGGUGGGGAUGACGUCAAGUCAUCAUGCCCCUUAUGUCCAGGGCUUCACGCAUGCUACAAUGGCUGGUACAGAGAGUGGCGAGCCUGUGAGGGUGAGCGAAUCUCGGAAAGCCGGUCUCAGUUCGGAUUGGGGUCUGCAACUCGACCUCAUGAAGUCGGAGUCGCUAGUAAUCGCAGAUCAGCAACGCUGCGGUGAAUACGUUCCCGGG